rnacentral:rRNA from 1 species
UACAGAGGUCUCAAGCGUUGUUCGGAAUUACUGGGCGUAAAGGGUGCGCAGGCCGCGCGGGCAGUCAAAUGUGUAAUUCAGGGGCUCAACCCCUGCACUGCGCUUGAUACUUCCGCGCUAGAACUUUGGAGAGGAGUCUGGAAUUCUCGGUGUAGCAGUGAAAUGCGUGGAUAUCGAGAAGAACACUAACGGCGUAAGCAAGACUCUGGACAAAUGUUGACGCUCAAGCACGAAGGCUAGGGUAGCGAACGGG